CUGGGAAUGGUGUUUCUAUGAAACAUAUUUUCAUAUUCGUUUGUAACAAUGGGGAGGCAUGGAGNAAGAGGGGAAAAGGGUGACCCAGGAAAAGAAGGAAAAGUGGGUUUACCUGGGCCAGCUGGUGUGCCAGGGCCUCCUGGACAGCCGGGUUCGCCUGGCAAAGGUAAAGAUGGAGAACAGGGGGAAAGAGGCCCACCGGGCUUGCCGGGACCUUUUGGACAUAAGGGUGAGAGGGGAGCUCCUGGCCUCCCUGGACAGUCAGGAGACAGAGGUGUGCCAGGAGUUGGACUGGCUGGACCACCUGGCCCUGUUGGACCCCCAGGAGACAAAGGAUCAUUGGGUCCUCGUGGUAUACCUGGUAUCCCUGGACCACAGGGGCCUCCUGGCCAGGAUGUAAGUAAAACAAAAGUGUAAGUGCUUACAAAAUUUGCUGAUGCUUAAGUCUAAUUUCCCUAAAAAUUGUGUGCAUACUCAGCCUUGGUUGUUGAGUGUUACUAGGAUAGUCCAAUGGAAAUGAUUUGCAAAAAUUGAGCUCUUAUAUUUCAGGAUUUCAGGGAAAAAGACAUUUAGGCUACGGAGUAACUUUUCAAGGAAAGCGAUGGACAGCUUAUGUGGCAGCAUACACUGGGGAAUGAUCCUACAGUAGAAAAGGAUGAUAGUUAAGCUCUCUAGGAAAUUCUUAGAAGCCUCUAAGACAAGUAACCUGUAAUAUUUCUAUAAAAAUAAGGCCACCCCCACUAAAAAGCUUUUUAUGAGUUCAUUUUGCUGCUGCUGCUGUGCUUGAGAGAUGACACUUUAACCUCUUUUCUGUGCGUUUUCCUCACUCAACUCUCUGCAGUUGAGUCAUGGAGCUAAGAGAUAGAGGGAAGCAUGGCAGACUCCUGGCUUGAUAGCUGAGCCCUCUCACUGCCCAGUUGUGUCACAGUGUUGAAUCAGAAAGGGAAGAGUUUUUUCUCUGCUGGUACACUCUGCUCUGUGACAUGGAAACCUGCCUUGGAGGAAACUCAGCAAGGGAGCUGUGAAGAUUUUGAGAGAUGUAAUCUUUGCAUUUGUGCCUGUUGGAGGAAUGCUGUGGGAAAGGGACAGUAACUCUCCUCCUCAUCAUGCUUUCUUAUGCUGUCUUAUCUAAAAUGGGUACCAAUUUUCAUGAAGUACAUGCAAGCAUGUUAUCCCUCAUGCAUCAUUAUUGACAUACACCAGUUAUCAUAAAGGGUGCACUUUUCUAUAAGAUAGAUCUCCUUUCCUCCUGAAACAUUUGGAAAAGAAGGUCUUGGUUUUUUGCUCAACUGCUCCGUCAUAAGACAAAUGAUUGUGACAGUGGCAUUCCUCAAAAGCCUAUUGUGGCAGAAAUGGUCUAUCACUUUGUGUCCCUGAGCAACCAUAGCAAAUGUUUGAGUUCUUUAACCAAGAGGUUUUAAACUAGAAAUACAGAGCUUUUAUACAGGAAAUAAAACAGAUGAGCUUAUUGCAGCUGCAUAUGAGGAGAGUGCAGAGCCAGCUUUUCUAAGUCUCUUUCUGGCUCUGCUCAGAUCAAUGUUGACUGGUCAGCUCUUGGAGAGGCAGCACUGCAGUCUUUCUAUCUCUCCCAGCAGGAAAUUACCCAAGCAAAACCAUUGCUUAUGGUACUUAGAAAGCACAUCUUCUAUUACACAAACUGACUUAAUUGCAGUCAGCAUCCCUUUUAAGAACUGUGUUUUCUGGUUGUUCACCUAUUAAGCAAUUCUGCCUGUGUUUCAAGAUGUGUAAAUGUAACUACAGAGCACAUUCCAACAUUUCUUGGUAUAACAGCAGGGAUACUUUGUUUGACAAGAUCCUGCACUUCUAGUUUCUUGAUCUCCACUUUCAUUUAUGAGUAAUACAAAGGAUUUCUGGUUCUGCUUUUUGCACAUUUCUGUAUCAGUGUAGCAUUCCUGUGUUCUUUGAAGCUUGCCCAUUUCUGUAUUCUCUUGUGUUUAUACAGUAUGUCAUCAGUUAGAAAUGCUCUGAUUUGAAUUGCUGAUAGGAGUUUGCCACAUAAUUCCCAAGCUAUUCAGUGGCAACAGCCUUAAUGUCUUGCCUCAAUGCCUUGUCUUUUGCUGUGGCCCCUGCAAAUGUAUUUCAUGUUGGUUUGUUUUUUUUUUCCCUGAGACUGAGUAAUUCUUCUAAAUCACAUUUGCAUACAGCAGUCUAUUCUCUGCCUUGUUUUUCCAGCUGCAGACUCAUCAGAUGACCUUGGAAAUGUGUCUGUUAUAGGUUGUUAUAUUCCCUGAUACUGCAAUAUCAUAUUUAGAGUUGUAUUUCGGGAGGUGAAAGAAUAAAUACUUCCUUUGCAGUAGCUUUGACCAGAAUUAUCUCCCAGAGGAAUACAUUGUUUUUCUGCAUGACUGCAUCCUGGAAGGAGUGGCUGACACACCAUUAGGCUGUGCUGCCGUUCAGUGAUCCUCACAGACUGGAGAGUUCAAUGUGGAACUUCUAGGGAGAGUCCAGCAGAGGGCCACAAAGAUGAGAGACCUGGAGCAUCUCUCUUAUGAGNUGUGCUAAUUAUUACUGAUAACUACAUUCCAA
rnacentral:lncRNA from 1 species